GCAUUUGUGGUCUAAGGGCAGAAUUCCACCCUUCCAAGGUGGAGAUCCGGGUUCGAGUCCCGGCAAAUGCA
rfam:Entamoeba invadens IP1 unplaced genomic scaffold scaff_1105074726231, whole genome shotgun sequence.